ACCAGUAUAACUUGGGGACAAACAUAUCCAAAAUUCACUUGAAUAGGUUCAGGGGUUUAAUGGUUAGGUCGAAGUCCUUUGUUUUCACUUGCAAGCAUGGCUUUCUGGCCCAAACCAGUUUCACAAGAGUCUGGCAGUGUCCCUGGGACAACACCCUGCUGGAGAACAAUGGAUCCGGGGGAGGGGAAGAGGAAGUGUCCAAAAAGUUUCAGUAUUUCCCUUCACUGUUGUUAAAAGGUCAGCACAGUACAAUAAAAUACAAUAUGUCCAAAUGCAGUUCUUUAAAGGGUCCCAGGAAACUGGGGCAGACUCUGGUGUAGGGUUCAGUCCGCUACAGUGACUUAUAAAAAUCCGCACUUGUAAGUAAAUAGCUCGGGUAUCGGGAUUUGGAAACACUUCUUGAUUAGUUUGAACAGGCCCACUUACAUAUUAAAUGAGAUAAUUUCUAAUCAGUUUGCAAUUCUAACAAUAAUCCCAAUCAUGACCUUGCGUCCUUUGCCUCCUAAUCACAUCUCUAUUUCGAUGGUCCAGUCAUAUGCACACUAAAUACAUGGGAAUCCAUCCUUGGUACACUCAACAUACAUCAAUGACACACAUAGUACAUCCAUCCCUGGGUAAGCUAACACUUCCUCUCUCUCCGGCUAACUCUACAAAAAUAAAAAUAACAAAAUAGUUCAAUAGUCCAGCAUAGUCCAGAAAAAUAGAAUAAGUCUUUCAAGGAGUAUAAAGAAUCUUAGACACCAUAAACUUUGUUCCAUAAUCUUAGACACCAUAACAUAGCUAAAGUUAGCAAUAUGGCUGACAACAAGACAAUGUCAGCUUCCACAUAGUUCUUAAUUCUUCUGUUUGCUGGAUGUUCACCACAAUACUCUGUGCAACACACCAAUUGUUGAAAGGGUAAUACAGACAUAGCGGCAUUAGACAGCACUGCACCUUCAGGACUUUCCAGGUUAGUUUACUAGUCCUCAUAAGUAAGCAUCUCAGUUACUUCGGCCAGCAUGGAUUUUG